UAUAAACGCAGAAAAUUUGAAAAAACGAAGAACGAACGGAGAGAAACAUGAACGAAGGAACGGAGGAUCGAUUCUCUCACGUUUUGCCCUGAAAUUGAAGACGAUCGAUUCUCUCACGUCUGUUGGUGAUAUCACUUUCACCAAACGAAGGGGGAACUGGGAAGGGCACUGUGUUCGACUCGUUCGAGACUUCGAGGACCAGUAUAUACUAGUAUAAUACACACUGUAGAGUCUUAGAGUAUAUCCCCCAUUCGCUUGCGACUUGCGAGGUUUCAAAUCGGUAAGUAUUCUCUUAUUAUGCAGAGCCCCGGCAGGUGGUGCUUAGAUUUGUAUUGUUAAAUGUAGAGCCCUAGCUGGUGGUGCUUAGAUUUGUAUUGUUAAAUGGAGAGCCCUGGCUGGUGGUGCUUAGAUUUGUGCUUAGAUUUGUUAAAUGCAGAGCCCUGGCUGGUAGUGCUUAGUUUUGUGCUGAUUUAGUUGACAUUGGUUAGUGCUUAAAUUUAAAAAUAUCUUAUUUAUCUGAUUAUCAGUUAGUGCAUCAUUAAUAAUAAUGUUAUAAGCCUCUUUUUUUAAUUAUUACUUAGGUGCAUCAUGCCUAAACAUUAACUAUCUGGUCAUCAGAAAAGAAUAAAGAAGCAAAAAACAGAAGCAUUAAUAAAUUCUCAAAAAGGGGCCAUUAGAAAGUUUUUUUCAAGCAACGAAAAUGUACAAAGUUCAGUCGAAGAAUACGAAAAUUAAUUUGGUGACUGAUGACGCUGAAUACUUGGUGGAUGAAGAACCAAUAGAAGAAGAAUGUGGGGAUUUGGGGGGUGAGGAAGUCUAUCAAUGUAUCAAUGAGAGCAGUGAAAGAGGUGGAUUAUACAAAUUUGAUUGAUAAUUUUGCUUCUAGAAAUGCAAGACGAGUAAUAUUCAAGUGACACUCAUGCAUUCUUGAGAUAAUAUGUAUUUGCCUAUUUGGAGUUUUUGUAUUUUGUGUUCGUAUUUAUGAUUAGUAGAAUUUUAUAUUGGUUUGGCUUUAUUGUAUUGUGAUUAUUGCUGUAAAAAUUGUUAAGUAUUAACUCUUUAAGGACACUUUUUUUUUAUUGAUUUUG